rnacentral:rRNA from 1 species
CCUGGCUUAGGAUGAACGCUAGCGACAGGCCUAACACAUGCAAGUCAGGGGCAGCACAAGGAGCAAUCUGAGGUGGCGACCGGCGCACGGGUGAGUAACACGUAUGCAACCUGCCUGUAAGCGGGGAAUAACCCGUUGAAAGACGGACUAAUACCGCAUAAUACUAAAUUACUGCAUGGUAAUUUAUUUAAACAUUUAUGGCUUACAGAUGGGCAUGCGCAUGAUUAGCUAGUUGGAGAGGUAACGGCUCCCCAAGGCAACGAUCAUUAGGGGUUCUGAGAGGAAGGUCCCCCACACUGGUACUGAGACACGGACCAGACUCCCACGGGAGGCAGCAGUGAGGAAUAUUGGUCAAUGGACGAGAGUCUGAACCAGCCAAGUCGCGUGCAGGAAGAAUGUUCCCUAUGGAUUGUAAACUGCUUUUGCAGGGGAAUAAAGUGCAUCACGUGUGAUGUUUUGUAUGUACUCUGCGAAUAAGGAUCGGCUAACUCCGUGCCAGCCGCCGC